rnacentral:rRNA from 1 species
UACGUAGGGGGCAAGCGUUGUCCGGAAUUAUUGGGCGUAAAGCGCGCGCAGGCGGUUUUUUAAGUCUGGUGUUUAAACCCGAGGCUCAACCUCGGGUCGCAUCGGAAACUGGGAGACUUGAGUGCAGAAGAGGAGAGUGGAAUUCCACGUGUAGCGGUGAAAUGCGUAGAGAUGUGGAGGAACACCAGUGGCGAAGGCGACUCUCUGGGCUGACACUGACGCUCAGGCACGAAAGCGUGGGGAGCGAACAGG